rnacentral:rRNA from 1 species
UGGGGAAUUUUGGACGAAUUGGGCGAAAGCCUGAUCCAGCAAUGCCGCGUGUGUGAAGAAGGCCUUCGGGUUGUAAAGCACUUUUGUCCGGAAAGAAAUCCUUGGCUCUAAUACAGUCGGGGGAUGACGGUACCGGAAGAAUAAGCACCGGCUAACUACGUGCCAGCAGCCGCGGUAAUACGUAGGGUGCAAGCGUUAAUCGGAAUUACUGGGCGUAAAGCGUGCGCAGGCGGUUUGCUAAGACCGAUGUGAAAUCCCCGGGCUCAACCUGGGAACUGCAUUGGUGACUGGCAGGGCUAGAGUAUGGCAGAGGGGGGUAGAAUUCCACGUGUAGCAGUGAAAUGCGUAGAGAUGUGGAGGAAUACCGAUGGCGAAGGCAGCCCCCUGGGCCAAGUACUGACGCUCAUGCACG